rnacentral:rRNA from 1 species
GACGAACGCUGGCGGCGUGCUUAACACAUGCAAGUCGAACGGAAAGGCCCUGCUUUUGUGGGGUGCUCGAGUGGCGAACGGGUGAGUAACACGUGGGUAACCUGCCCUUGACUUUGGGAUAACUUCAGGAAACUGGGGCUAAUACCGGAUAGGAGCUCCUGCUGCAUGGUGGGGGUUGGAAAGUUUCGGCGGUUGGGGAUGGACUCGCGGCUUAUCAGCUUGUUGGUGGGGUAGUGGCUUACCAAGGCUUUGACGGGUAGCCGGCCUGAGAGGGUGACCGGCCACAUUGGGACUGAGAUACGGCCCAGACUCCUACGGGAGGCAGCAGUGGGGAAUAUUGCACAAUGGGCGGAAGCCUGAUGCAGCAACGCCGCGUGCGGGAUGACGGCCUUCGGGUGGUAAACCGCUUUCGCCUGUGACGAAGCGUGAGUGACGGUAAUGGGUAAAGAAGCACCGGCUAACUACGU